CCAACGCCGGCUGUGGGGCUUUGCGAGGCAGGACCCCGAGAAGCCCCCAGCUACAUUCGCCGUGUUUUAGGGCCACAGAGCGGAUCUUGCAUGGGCUGGAAGAUGUCGCGGGUGGCUGAACUUGGAUGUCGGCGAACUGUCACGGCUCCCGAUUUCCGGUGGCGCGUCCAGUAGUGAUGCUGCAGAGAGGUGAAGGGGGAGCAGCACCUUGCCAGACAGCAGGACACCAAGAUAACAGUGGUCGCCAAGACAAUCAAAAUCCAGCCCAGCAUCUUCACAUCAUUAUUAGAAAGAAAAACAGAAAUAAUCGAUGCAUCAAAUAUUCAAGGGAUUCCUACAAAAUUGAGAGCUAAAAUGUGAGUUAAAGCUCUAUCUUCACCCAGCACUUAUCAGCCCAGUGCUCUGAGAAGAGACUAAGGCAGAAAGAUUGUUAAGUGCAAGCCUGGCUUUGUCAAUGUCGCAACGUAGCAAGACCUUGUGUCAAAAUACAGAAUGCAAUGGCGGGGGGGAGGGAUAAAACACAUAAAAACUUUGUGUUUCCAGACUUUAACACGUUAAAAAAAUUUUUAAAAAGCUGAUCAUUUGAUGCAGAAGUAGACCUGAUGAAAGGAAAGGUCAGGCCGGUUUAACUUGAUUUUUUGCUUUUUGGAUUACAAAGGAAUUUAACCAAUUAACAUAGAAAGGAUUCUGAGUACUGCUCUUAAAGUGAUAGAUGUGGUAGCCCAUGACAUAACCUUAUAUAAGAUAUAUAAACAUUAUUGUUUGCUUAUAGCUCAAUCUUUCAACCUUGAGCUACAGGCCCAUACAUUCUUUGGGAGCUUAAUAAAUUCUUGAUAAAUGAUGGUGAUGAAAAUGAUGGUGUGAUUAGAAUAUAAUAGCAGCCUCCAAUGUCUUCAGUGAUGUGCUAACAAGUAUGCACUGAUAUUUCUUCCUGUAUUGCUCUUCCUUCUUUAUGUCUUGUAACCCAGGAAGUCAGUGAACAGACUGUGUCUUUAAAUGCAUUGUAAAUAGUAUAGUCACUGCCUUACAGUAACUACUUUCCGUCCAAAGUAACUGGUUUUUGUCUGAGACUAUUUAGUACCUGCCUUUAAAGACUGACAUAACUUGUAGUCUUAGAAUCCUUUUUUGCCUUUUAUUAUUACUCUUUUUUAAACAUUUAGCAAUUGUUAAAGUGAAGAAGACAAGUCACAUAUUUCAGGAAGCGAGCAGUGUAUAGCCACAGUCCAAGCAAGAAAGGCCUCUCUGCACCUGGGCCUGGCAUCACAGGGAUAUGCAGAGAGAUGGUUGCACUCUAAGAACUACACAGUGCUGUGUAUAUUAAAGUAGCUUUAUAGAGGGCAGUGCAGAAGAGGAAAAAACACUUCAGAUGCCCAUUAAUUCGUUACCAGGUUGAGCUCCAAGCUGACAACCACUGUAAGUAGCACAUGAUGUUUCAUAAUGAAAGGAAGGGGAUUUAUCCUCUGUAUGUUCUUUAAACUUGCAAAGGGAAAUGAGAAAGCCAAGAAAGGAUAGUAGAGUGUAGUAGUUUCUGAUCUUAGUAAGCACAGCAGUGAGGAAACACAAUGGAAAAGAAAUGUAUGGGAAGGAAAAUGAGAAUCAGCAAAGGAGGAGGAGAUAAUCAUGGAAGGGAGAUAAGAGUCAAGGAACACUUCCACAGAUGAUGCUUACUAAAACGCAAUUAUUAAAAAGAAGUUCACCAAACUGAAGAAGUGCAGGAGAGCCCAGUAAAGGAAAAAGUAGGAAAAUAACACAUGAGAAGCUGGGAGAACUGAAAGGUUGGUAACAGUCAGGGAAAAGUGAUCGAGGGUCAGAUAGCGUAUGUCAUGCCAAGGGGUUUGGAUGUAGGCUAGGAUGGGAAAAAAUCAUUGAAAGAGUUUAGGAGGGGGAAAGAGAGAUGAUAGUCUAAUUGGCAUUUAGAAUGAUUUUUUACCAGCCUAGCACAUGGCCAAAGAAGGUAGAUUGAACUGAGUGAAAUUAAUAUCCAGAGCUUGUUAUCAACCAAGAAAAAUUCAACUGAAAAGCAUUGUUUAUUCUUCAGAUAAUACCACAGAUCAAAGUAAUUGCAGAAGGCAGCCUGGCAAAAUGGGAACAGGGUGACUUUGGGUAUCAUAAUCUGCAUUUGUGAGCUCCGUGAAUUUCUGCAAGUCACACAUUCUUUGAGGUUUGGUUUACUCAUCUGUAAAAUGGGGUUAAUAACCUUUUUCUUAAUGGUGAAAAUUAGAGUUAAGGUAUGAAAUAUUUACACAAUUCUAUAUGUGAUACAUGGGUUUGUUAUCACAAAACUAAAAAUUCCACUGAUAAUGGUAUUCACAACUAUAAAACUAACUUUUCACAGAAAUCUGUGUAUGCAUUUAAUGACGUAUUAUUUUUAUCUUAAGAUAAUCUUAUCAUUGUGUUACAUUUUACUUUUUCUUAAGCAAGAACAUUUUUGAAAGUUACAGUUGUACCAUUGGUUUUUUUUAGACUUUUCAUAGAUCUUCACUUAGCUCCUCUACCUGAGCUGUAGGGUCAGAUUACAAUGUUGGUAUUCUCUGUCUUGGUUGUGAAGUUUUUCAACUAAGUAACAUUAGCAUUUCUAAACUUUAAUAAUGGCAAGGCUAGAGAUCAAAAAACAUUUGUGCAUUUACAGUAAAUAGUUUUUAAAAAGCCGGCGCCUAGUGUAUUGCAAUGGUUUCAAAGUAUGUUUUUCUCCAAAUCCUUUGUAGAGACUGAUAAAAAUCAAUGGCUUUUUCUUUCUUGACAAAAUGCAAGAAUUGCAGUUCUAAAAUUUAACCUCUAAAUAUAGUAGGCUUCAGUUUUCAUCCAUUUACCCUUUGCCACAAUUCUGCCAUGAACACUAAAUUUAGAAACAUCACUGGAGACUUUUGAAUAAUAAUCAAGCUUCCUGCCA